rnacentral:rRNA from 1 species
AAAUUGAAGAGUUUGAUCAUGGCUCAGAUUGAACGCUGGCGGCAGGCCUAACACAUGCAAGUCGAACGGUAACAGGAAGCAGCUUGCUGCUUUGCUGACGAGUGGCGGACGGGUGAGUAAUGUCUGGGAAACUGCCUGGUGGAGGGGGAUAACUACUGGAAACGGUGGCUAAUACCGCAUAACGUCGCAAGACCAAAGAGGGGGACCUUCGGGCCUCUUGCCAUCAGAUGUGCCCAGAUGGGAUUAGCUUGUUGGUGGGGUAACGGCCCACCAAGGCGACGAUCCCUAGCUGGUCUGAGAGGAUGACCAGCCACACUGGAACUGAGACACGGUCCAGACUCCUACGGGAGGCAGCAGUGGGGAAUAUUGCACAAUGGGCGCAAGCCUGAUGCAGCCAUGCCGCGUGUAUGAAGAAGGCCUUCGGGUUGUAAAGUACUUUCAGCGGGGAGGAAGGCGACAAGGUUAAUAACCUUGUU